rnacentral:tRNA from 1 species
CAGGUGUGGUUCAAUGGUAGAACGUCAGCCUUCCAAGCUGAACACGUGAGUUCGAUUCUCAUCACCUG